AGCCAUUUCUCACUAAAGGUGCAUAGGAUCUAGAAUAGCAACAAAAGAGUCCAAAAACUGACUCCGCCACUUCAUAGCUCUUAACUGCUCUUGGACUUAGC